rnacentral:rRNA from 1 species
AAGCACUUUAUUUGAUUUCCUUCGGGACUGAUUAUUUUGUGACUGAGUGGCGGACGGGUGAGUAACGCGUGGGUAACCUGCCUUGUACAGGGGGAUAACAGUUGGAAACGGCUGCUAAUACCGCAUAAGCGCACAGGACCGCAUGGUCCGGUGUGAAAAACUCCGGUGGUAUAAGAUGGACCCGCGUUGGAUUAGCUGGUUGGUGGGGUAACGGCCUACCAAGGCGACGAUCCAUAGCCGGCCUGAGAGGGUGAACGGCCACAUUGGGACUGAGACACGGCCCAGACUCC